GUGUCAGCAGCCGCGGUAAUACGGAAGGUCCGGGCGUUAUCCGGAUUUAUUGGGUUUAAAGGGAGCGUAGGCCGCGUUUUAAGCGUGUUGUGAAAUGUAGACGCCCAACGUCUGCAUCGCAGCGCGAACUGGGACGCUUGAGUACGCGCAACGUUGGCGGAAUUCGUCGUGUAGCGGUGAAAUGCUUAGAUAUGACGAGGAACUCCGAUUGCGAAGGCAGCUGACGGGAGCGCAACUGACGCUUAAGCUCGAAGGUGCGGGUAUCGAACAGGAUUAGAUACCCCUGUAGUCC
rnacentral:rRNA from 1 species